rnacentral:misc_RNA from 1 species
UACGGAGGAUCCAAGCGUUAUCCGGAAUCAUUGGGUUUAAAGGGUCCGUAGGCGGGUUAAUCAGUCAGUGGUGAAAGUCUGCAGCUUAACUGUAGAAUUGCCAUUGAUACUGUUAACCUUGGGUAAUUAUGAAGUGGUUAGAAUAUGUCGUGUAGCGGUGAAAUGCAUAGAUAUUACAUAGAAUACCGAUUGCGAAGGCAGAUCACUGAAAAUAUACUGACGCUGAUGGACGAAAGCGUAGGUAGCGAACAGG